rnacentral:rRNA from 1 species
UACGUAGGGUGCAAGCGUUAAUCGGAAUUACUGGGCGUAAAGCGUGCGCAGGCGGUUGUGCAAGACAGAUGUGAAAUCCCCGGGCUCAACCUGGGAAUUGCAUUUGUGACUGUACGGCUAGAGUGUGUCAGAGGGGGGUAGAAUUCCACGUGUAGCAGUGAAAUGCGUAGAGAUGUGGAGGAAUACCGAUGGCGAAGGCAG